rnacentral:rRNA from 1 species
UACGGAGGGGGCUAGCGUUGUUCGGAAUUACUGGGCGUAAAGCGCACGUAGGCGGCUUUGUAAGUUAGAGGUGAAAGCCCGGAGCUCAACUCCGGAAUUGCCUUUAAGACUGCAUCGCUCGAAUCAUGGAGAGGUGAGUGGAAUUCCGAGUGUAGAGGUGAAAUUCGUAGAUAUUCGGAAGAACACCAGUGGCGAAGGCGACUCACUGGACAUGUAUUGACGCUGAGGUGCGAAAGCCAGGGGAGCGAACGGG